rnacentral:misc_RNA from 1 species
UCUCUCUCUCUCUCUCUCUGUGAUAUUUUUCUAUAACUUGGUGUCUCUGUGUCUCUACGAUCACGAUCCAACGGUCCAAAAUGAACGGAGCUCCUUACGCUUAUUUCUCCAGGUUUUAAGCCCCAAACCUCCAGAUCUGUUCUCUCUGUGCUCAGAUCUUCAAUUUCGGUUUAAUAUUUGUAUUUCUUUUUUGACGCACGCAAAUGGAGGCUAGCUACGGCUUAGUGACAGUUGCGCUAAUUAACGGUGCACUAACGUGCGCCGUUGAGGCAAUAGCUAGUUUGCUAGUUUCGGCAGCAUUGGUCAAAGCAGCCCAGGUACGCCAAAAAGGUUUUUAGAUUUUCGUUUCCUAGUAAAAUUUUGGGUCAGUGAUAUCUUAGCGUGCGCCUUUUCUCCUGAAAUCCACUAAAACGCGCCUCUGCUUUUCCUUUCUAACAUGCGCGCGCCACCUCCUUUCAAUCUCGUCUGAAGGUGUUCAUUUUUUUUGGUCUGCUUCAAUUUUAUCUUUUCUGCUAACAUGAGCAGGCAUGGCGUGGGUCUGUCCUUUGCUAACUGCGUUGUGGGAUUUUUUGGGUGUUCCGACUGUUUUCUAUGCUUUUUGUAUGGAUAGUUAUAUUAUUCGUGCCUUUUCCACACCAGCUUAACGUGCGCCCCCGUUCCCUAAUCCGGUGCGCUUUUAUUUUUUCUUUUUAAAUUUCGUUUAGUCAAGUCUACGUUGAGCUAAAGUGAGCCGGAUUUGGAAGGAAUAUUUAACAAUAAUUAAUGAUCUAGUUUGAGUCCGGAUUUUUACACGUGUGGCCUGUGAGAUAUAAUACAAAAUAUUCUUUUGUCGUGUAUAACGAUUGUUGGAAAUGUUAAAAGUCAAAGGAGAGACAUUGUUCUCGUUUAUGCCACCAAUGUUGGGCUUGGGAAUAUUCGUUUUAUGAUGCUGAGUUUAUAGAGUCCGUCUUUUUUUUUUUUAUACAUAUAAUUAAAUAAUAUUUAGACUUCUUGUUCAUCUAAUUUGGAUUUUUUAAAUCUGGGACGGUGCAGAUUUUCUUCCGAAGAAUAUUUUGGCCAUUUUAAAAUUAAAAAAAAAAAACUUUUGAGUUAGUUCGUCAUCGUGAUUUGUGCACUUAUACAAGUAUUUUGUCUCUUUCUAGGU